rnacentral:misc_RNA from 1 species
UCCGAGUUCACCCCGGCAGUCUCCCAUGAGUCCCCGGCAUAACCCGCUGGCAACAUAGGACAAGGGUUGCGCUCGUUGCGGGACUUAACCCAACAUCUCACGACACGAGCUGACGACAACCAUGCACCACCUGUACACCCCCAACCAAAUGACCCCGUAUCUCUACGAGUCCAGAGUGUAUGUCAAAUCCUGGUAAGGUUCUCCGCGUUGCAUCGAAUUAAGCCGCAUGCUCCGCCGCUUGUGCGGGCCCCCGUCAAUUCCUUUGAGUUUUAGCCUUGCGGCCGUACUCCCCAGGCGGGGCGCUUAAAGCGUUAGCUACGGCACAGAAAACAUAAAGUCCCCCACACCUAGCGCCCAACGUUUACAGCGUGGACUAC